UACGUAGGGUGCAAGCGUUGUCCGGAAUUAUUGGGCGUAAAGAGCUCGUAGGCGGUUUGUCGCGUCUGCUGUGAAAACUCGGGGCUUAACCCCCGGGCCUGCAGUGGAUACGGGCAGACUAGAGUGCGGUAGGGGAGACUGGAAUUCCUGGUGUAGCGGUGAAAUGCGCAGAUAUCAGGAGGAACACCGGUGGCGAAGGCGGGUCUCUGGGCCGUAACUGACGCUGAGGAGCGAAGGCGUGGGGAGCGAACAGG
rnacentral:rRNA from 1 species